rnacentral:lncRNA from 1 species
UCCUGACACUUGAGAUGGAGGAUGUUUCAAUACAUGUUGAUCGAGAUGCUAGGAUGAUGGCAGGACAGUCCCAUCAUAACACUUGGAAUAGUACCCCAUGUUGGCAUCCUGCAAGACGUCUCACUGAUUCUUGAGUCCAUGGUUAUACUUUUGAAUAAUACAUGUGAAUGAUUGAUGAGACCUAGAAAUUUUUAAAGCACC